rnacentral:lncRNA from 1 species
GCUUUCCUAUCCAGGACCCUGCUGCCUCUGACCGCACCCCAAGCCUUCUCUGCUGCUCACAUGGGCUCCUCUCUCCUUUGUGCUUUUUGCCUUCUGUCCCCACUGCCUGGAAAACGUUCCCCUCACAUUUUGCAUGGCUGCUGCCUUCUCAUCACAGAGGUCUCAGGUCAACCAUCACUACCCCCAGGAGGCCUUCCUUGACUGCCCUAUCUCCUGUCACUGGCCUCCACUACCAGUCACUGCCAUGUUCACUUCCUUUUGUUGUCAUCUAGCACCUGUCCCUGUCUGAAUUGUAUCAUUUAUCUGUUAUUAUUUGUUUAUUCUGUUCCUGCCUGUCUCCCUGAGGCCAGGGACCUUGUCUGUCUUUAUUACUAUGCUGACCCUGGUGCUCAGCACUUAAUAAAGAAUCAUUAAAACAAAAUGAAUGAAGGACACUAAAGGCUGUCAUAGAAGUUACUUGGACAACACCACCCACCCCUGGGGGGUGGGGUGGUGGGAACUUGCUUGGUGAUGGCAACAAACAAACAAACACUUUCCCCUUCCCACUUCUCUUCCGGUAUUCCAGACAGGAGGAAUAAUGUACUGAUCUGCUGACAUUAAGAAGGACCCUAUUUUCAGAUUACUUCUUCAAAGGAGCAGCAUCUACAUUGGCAAGAUUUUUGAAAAAAUUGGAUUCCUCGGCCAGGAGUGGUGGCUCACACCUGUAAUUCCAACACUUCGGGAGGCCGAGGCGGGCAGAUCACCCGAGGUCAGGAGUUCGAGACCAGCCUGACCAACAUGGAGAAACCCUGUCUCUACUUAAAGUACAAAAUUAGCCAGGUGUGGUGGCGCAUGCCUGUAAUCCCAGCUACUCAGGAGGCUGAGGCAGGAGAAUUGCUUGAAUCCGGGAGGCAGAGGUUGUGGUGAGCCAAGAUCACGCCAUUGCACUCCCCCCUGGGCAACAAGAGUGAAACUCCAUCUCAAAAAAAAAAAAAAAAGAAAAAAGAAAAUUGGAUUCCUCAAUCCAGGAUCUCUUGCAUUUGGAGAACUUUAGGCUUUCAGCUGUUGCAUGCCUAGGCCUUGUCAUAAUCCAAUAAAGCAGGAUAUGGAACGGGAUAUUGGAUAUGGAAGGGGAUAGGAUUGGUGGAUGAAACAGAGAAAGGGAGAGAGAGACAGAAAACACACACACACACACACACUCUGAGAGAGAGAGAGACACACACAGAGAGAGAGAUUCCGCUGUAACAAACUCUUGGAAGACAGAAAGAGGAGGCAAAGGAGAGGAAGGGCCAGUGACAGCUCUGCUGCUCUGAAAGUCAAGGGGCCCUUGGCUCACUGCCUUCCCCGUCCUUCCCUGGGGCCAGGUGCGCUGGAAUCCUAGAUUCCCUGGGAGUGAGGGUAGGUACCAUGACGGCAUGAAGUCACCUCCCACCACCUUCAAGACUUCCCACUGCCAGUCUGUAGCCUGUGUGUUGAGUCCUGGUCCAACCCUGAGUCACCCGUGUGAACUGGGGUCAGUGAUUGGUCUCUAGUUCUCCAUCUCUCCAUCUGAAGAAUGUGAAUAAUAAUUUCUGACUUGGCUGUUUACAGGACCGCCGUGAGGAUCCAAGUGCACAGUGAGGUGGGGGGAGGCAGAUACAUGGAUUCCUUUCCACGUGGCCCACAAGAAACACCUGUCCCUCCAGACUCGGGGACCACCAGGGACCUUGAAUAGUUGCCUUGGCAACUCAUUGCCUGGCUAACUCCCACUCCUUUGGGUUUCAGCUUAAACAUCAGUUGUGCAAGAUCUUCUGGACCCCUAAGUUGGGUCCUCCUCUUCUCUCUGAGGAAAAGGAAUAUGUUUCUGUUGCGUACCAUCUUAUCACCACGUAGCAGUGGGUGCUCCAUAAGAUCCUCCUGCGUGAGUAAGUGAAUUCCCUGCCUCAUCCCUCUCUCAUGCCUUAGCAUGAGGCCUGAGGCCAAGAGCCCGUCCAUCACAUACCCCUUGCCCAAAGCCUCCUUAUAACGGUCAGGAGAAGGGUGGCAUCUCCUCCUCUCCCUUCUAACUCAAGGAACAAAUCACUGGCUACAUGAUAGUUGCCCUUCCUCCCAUCCUUCCAGCAUAGUAGCCCCUGCCCAGGAUCCAAAAGGCAGAAGGUGAGUAAUUGCUAUUUUUAUUUAUCUUUGCACAAGGCUGCCCUCUGGUGGUCGAACAUGUAGGAGCGAAUGGGAAGGAUGGAAACCCCAGUAGCCAGGAACCAGCCCAGCUGGCUGAGCCAACCACGCUCAAGAGACUGGCCAGCGAGCCAGGGAGUAGGUUGGAGCUGUCUCCACACCUUGCUCCAUCCCUCUCAAGAUGAGGGGAUUCUAACCAGCUCUCCACCUGCACUAGGCCCAAACCAGAGGAAAUAACAUAAACCAGGACUCCUUGGAAAAGCCCUCGGAUGCCUCAGUGCCCCUCCCUGGAGUUUUGUCCUGUGCAGUGGCCGUCCAUCUUGCAUCCUUUAGAAGAAGCCUCUUGAAAGCGAGAACCAACAGGCCCAGGAAUCCCUGGAUCCACCUCACCUCCACUUCUUUCUACUGGGCUCUGCUCAUUGCUCAAUCAGUGAAGGUUUGUUGACCACCUACAACAGCCAACUGCAUGCAGUUCUGCUCUCCACCAUCAGUUCUGGAAAAGCUGCUGCUUCACGGAAGAGAAAGGCAAUUGCUUUGCCCAACCCAACAUUCACU